CCCUGAGUGUGAUUUUCAGUUUACCUAUGGG
rnacentral:piRNA from 1 species